rnacentral:rRNA from 1 species
CUGGGCGUAAGGGUGCGUAGGCGGCUUCUUAAGUCUGGUGUGAAAUCUCCCGGCUCAACUGGGAGGGUGCGCCGGAUACUGAGGGGCUAGAGUGUGGGAGAGGAAAGUGGAAUUCCUGGUGUAGCGGUGAAAUGCGUAGAUAUCAGGAGGAACACCGGUGGUGUAAACGGCUUUCUGGACCAUAACUGACGCUGAGGCACGAAAGCGUGGGUAGCAAACAGGAUUAGAUACCCUGGUAGUCCACGCCCUAAACGAUGCAUAUUUGGUGUGGGCCAUUCAUUUGGUCCGUGCCGGAGCUAACGCGUUAAAUAUGCCGCCUGGGGAGUACAGUCGCAAGGCUGAAACUCAAAGGAAUUGACGGGGGCCCGCACAAGCGGUGGAGCAUGUGGUUUAAUUCGACGCAACGCGAAGAACCUUACCUGGGCUCGAAAUGCUGUGGACCAGUCUGUGAAAGCAGGCCUUCCCGCAAGGGACCACAGUAUAGGUGCUGCAUGGCUGUCGUCAGCUCGUGUCGUGAGAUGUUGGGUUAAGUCCCGCAACGAGCGCAACCCUUGUCCUGUGUUGCCAUCAUUCAGUUGGGAACUCGCAGGAGACCGCCAGGGAUAACCUGGAGGAAGGUGGGGAUGA